AUGAGCGACUGUACAGUUUGUUAUUGAGAUGAUAGCCUUGAGGAUAGGAAAGAGAAUCAUGAGUCACCUUCCAAACAGGUUUGAGCUGGUGUGAGAUACUAGUACAAACAUAUUUUAGAAACUGGUCUAAACUAGUCCGUAAGAAAGAGUGGUAGGUGUGGAUUCAACAAAAUACCCUCACAUGCUAAGGAGAGAGUGAGCUGGACUAACAAGAAACUGUGGCUGCAACUGCCUGGGAAACAAAUACCAUGAGGAUUCACUAUGGAGGCAGCUUUGCCCAAAGAAGAAGAUCAGAGACAGAACUUUGCAGCCAUGCUAUUCAGUAAUGAAGAUGCAAAUUGUUGUUUAAUAUUCAACUGCUGCUUCCUGUGAAGGUCUGAACAAGUGACAGUGGCAAUGUUAGGAUUUCCUCAGAGAUCUUUUCUACUCGGCUUAGCCAGAACACCUCUCCAGUUCUGGGGAUAAUACUUUAUCCAGCUCUCUCGAAUCCAAGAAAUCAGCUCAACUCUGGACUCAUCACUACGGUUUCAUUAUUGGCAUACAAUCAAACUACACUUGAGUUGAUCAGGGCCAAGUGUAGCAGAUGGGUACAGGGUGUACCCAGGGGUGAAAGUAACUGAAAGGACUUCUGGUACGCUGAAGUCCUGAGUGGGGGCGUGACCUCAACCGGAAGAGGUAGCUGGGGCUGGGAGCUAUCACCCCAGAGCUACCAGCUGCCGAGGCGGCUGGAAGCCCGGGGCCUUUUAAAGCGCCUGAGCCCCA